AUGAACGCUGGCGGCGUGCCUAAUACAUGCAAGUCGAGCGAACAGACGAGGAGCUUGCUCCUCUGACGUUAGCGGCGGACGGGUGAGUAACACGUGGAUAACCUACCUAUAAGACUGGGAUAACUUCGGGAAACCGGAGCUAAUACCGGAUAAUAUAUUGAACCGCAUGGUUCAAUAGUGAAAGACGGUUUUGCUGUCACUUAUAGAUGGAUCCGCGCCGCAUUAGCUAGUUGGUAAGGUAACGGCUUACCAAGGCAACGAUGCGUAGCCGACCUGAGAGGUUGAGCGGCCACACGGGAACUGAGACACGGUCCAGACUCCUACGGGAGGCAGCAGUGGGGAAUCUUCCGCAAUGGUCGAAAGCCUGACGGAGCAACGCCGCGUGAGUGAUGAAGGUCUUCGGAUCGUAAAACUCUGUUAUUAGGGAAGAACAAAUGUGUAAGUAACUAUGCACGUCUUGACGGUACCUAAUCAGAAAGCCACGGCUAACUACGUG
rnacentral:rRNA from 1 species